GACGAACGCUGGCGGCGUGCUUAACACAUGCAAGUCGAACGGAAAGGCCCUGCUUUUGUGGGGUGCUCGAGUGGCGAACGGGUGAGUAACACGUGAGUAACCUGCCCUUGACUUUGGGAUAACUUCAGGAAACUGGGGCUAAUACCGGAUAGGAGCUCCUGCUGCAUGGUGGGGGUUGGAAAGUUUCGGCGGUUGGGGAUGGACUCGCGGCUUAUCAGCUUGUUGGUGGGGUAGUGGCUUACCAAGGCUUUGACGGGUAGCCGGCCUGAGAGGGUGACCGGGCACAAUGGGACUGAGGUACGGGCCAGGCUCCUACGGGAGGGAAGAGGGGGGAAUAUUGCACAAUGGGCGGAAGCCUGAUGCAGCAACGCCGCGUGCGGGAUGACGGCCUUCGGGUUGUAAACCGCUUUCGCCUGUGACGAAGCGUGAGUGACGGUAAUGGGUAAAGAAGCACCGGCUAACUACGUG
rnacentral:rRNA from 1 species